rnacentral:rRNA from 1 species
CAGCAGCCGCGGUAAUACGGAGGAUCCAAGCGUUAUCCGGAAUCAUUGGGUUUAAAGGGUCCGUAGGCGGUUUGGUAAGUCAGUGGUGAAAGCCCAUCGCUCAACGGUGGAACGGCCAUUGAUACCGCCAGACUUGAAUUAUUAGGAAGUAACUAGAAUAUGUAGUGUAGCGGUGAAAUGCUUAGAGAUUACAUGGAAUACCAAUUGCGAAGGCAGGUUACUACUAAUGGAUUGACGCUGAUGGACGAAAGCGUGGGUAGCGAACAGGAUUAGAUACCCUGGUAGUCCACGCCGUAAACGAUGGAUACUAGCUGUUGGGAGCGAUCUCAGUGGCUAAGCGAAAGUGAUAAGUAUCCCACCUGGGGAGUACGUUCGCGCAAAUGAAACUCAAAGGAAUUGACGG